CGGCAGAUUCAUACGAUGCGAGUGACCGCACAUCCACCGACAUGGUCGCCCCACUAGGCGACGCCAAGGGGACAGGGGGCCGAAGCAUCGGCUGCGAUUAGAAUCCACUUGCCAGUGAUUUAGCACGUAGUCAAUCGCAGUUGCUGCAGGCAUUAAUCGCAAUUGAUGUUUGCCACUCUUUUCCGGUGUCCGAUUAUUGCAGAUGUGCGAGGACGCUCACGAUUCUGGAUCGGUUUCUUCCUUUAAUCGUUGCGUCUCUAUAUAAUCUCCACCCACCCUGCUAUUGCUCAUUCCCCAACCUUACUUGGCAACAUCACAUCUUCUGGCCAUGCUUCUCGCCAGGUUGCCACCGCAGACUCUUGUUCUGCUACAGUUGCUCUCACAUCUCCCAGUUGAUGUAUUGGAACUGCCGACGGAUUCCGGUGGUUAGUUCGGGCACUUCUAAAGCUCACGAUUUGCAAUGGUUGCCACCAAGGACUUACAAUACCUCAUCUUCCUUACACCAAGACAAGUUCUUGCAUGGCUGAAGCCAGUAGGAAUAACGUAGAGCUGUAAUUGAAAGUCACUUCAAUAAUUAACAUAUCUAUGUUGCUGAAACAAGCAGUAUAACUUGAAUUUCGUCCAUCCUACGGGAAUUGGUUCUGAAAAUAUAAGUUUAGCUUAAACUGUUUCAUGUAAAUUAUGGGAGGAUGGUGCAUAUGAUGUUGGUGUGGUUCUAAGUUUUAGUGUAAUGAUUUCUUGGUUCU